AUGCGAAAGCAUUAUACCGUUUGUAGACCUCGGAACGCCACGAACGCGCUCAUUUUACCCACUCAUGACGUGGCGCCAUCUCAUCCCCAUUGACUGCGCCGUCAGGUCAUUUUUGGUAUCUUCUUUCGGUGCACGCCGACUACGACAUAUUUUCGCGUAAUGGGGCAUGUGAUUUAAAAGAACUUUUGUGGGCCUAGUUGGUGCAUACUUGAUAUACUUUUUAGAGCGCAAACAAGAGACAAGGCACAAAAGGGAGGUCAAACACAGGACAGGCGCCUGUCCUGUGUUUGACCUCCCUAUUGUGCCUUGUCUCUUUGUUUGCGCUCUAAAAAGUUUAUCAAGAGGCCUAUGAUGCUUUCGCAUUAAAACUGCAGGUCCUGUGAUCGCCAAACUUGCCAUUCCACUUUAUCGCAGUAGGUAAAACAGAAACCACAACUUACGCACGUGAGUUCCCACGUUUCCCUCUGGUGAACGUUUGCUCUGCUUCUCUGCCGUUGUUUCUGAAGCGCGAACGAAGGCCAAGAGAACGGCGUCGCGGCCUAAACGUUCCGCUAAAGCAUAUUCUGGUCACACAUCUUGGAAAUGAUCUGCAGUGGCUGUCAUAUCGCCAUGUCUGGCCAGAAGAAGACACUGGCUGCGCUCAUGAGCGGCGACCACGGGCCACCCGAGGGCUCGAGUUUUGAAUAAUAUAGAAAUCGAUGCGGAAUUGAAACGUUUGCUAUAUACAUCCGUGGAAUAAAGACGUUUGGUUGCUCUCUCUCUCUCGUAGAGCGAUGCAACUGCUAACUGUGAUGCGGUUAAAUUAACCAACGAGGAAGGAUAUCCAGAGUCACGCCCAAAGGGCAGUAGUCAGAGCCUCUCAGUUCAGGGCCCCAGUGCACUGGUCUCUGCCACCUGCCUGACCUGGCUAAUUAAGGACUUUUGUCUUGCCAGGCCGGAGCGGGCGAGCUGUGCCCCCCACUGCUCCACUGUGGUGCUGGUAUUUGGCAUAUGAGGGUGCUUAGCGCACUCCCAGGUUAUAUGUAUUAAGGUAGGUAUGCCACCGCGCCAAGGGCAGUUGGCCCUAUAGCGAGUGGGAUACAUGGGUUUAGCAAUUUUAGAUGAAGGAAUACCCCGGUCUAUAUUUUACGCCAAUCGGCGGCCUCUUCUCCGCUAAGUUGUGGGUGAGGCGGCUGGUAUUUUCUGCGGACUCCGCGCUGAUGAGCACUGUUAUAAGUGUCUAUACGUAUACAGGUCCCGUCAAGUGACACCUGCGAUGUGGCUGUACUUCCGUUGCUAGCCGGAAUAAUUUCUAAGGAACCGUGAAAAACAAGAAAAACACAGAAGUGUGUGCAAUCUUUUAGUUUUGUUCUCUCUCGUUGAGUACGAAUAAAAAAGAAAGCUCGCAGAUGCUCCUGUCGGUUAACUUCUCUUUGAAUAAUCAUAAUUGAUAAGAGACAGGGUGGGAAACCGGCUCUCGGAAAACGCUUGUGAGUUUGCGACGGACCGACCUCAGUCCUGGACGGCAGCAGUCGAAACCAUCACGCAUUUGGACCACCGAAACAACGGUAAAGCCCGCAGUUA